CCGUUUUUGCAGGGAAUUUUGAGAUUUCAAAUUUUGGUUUUGUUCCUAUUUGUGGGACUCCCUCUCCCCAAACUUCAAAACUCUUUGUGAAACGGAAUUACUAUUCUCAACCGAGCUCUAUUGAAAGCCUUGGGUCCGGGCAGUCUGCUCUCGGUGCUGGGAACCCAGGUGCUGGGAACCCAGGAAACUGUGGGAGCUAGAAGUGCCAGGGAGUUGCAAAUUUGAGAGCCAGGGUCCCAGACGCUGUGGGUUUGGAAGCCCACGAUCCCAGUCAGCCUGCUAGAUCGGCUUCCAAGGAGCUGAAUGGGUGCACUGUCAAGACAGCAGGCAGGUUUCUAAGGACCCCUGCCUGGCUUCUGGAGGAAUUUCAUCAAAAUGGAACUGUCGCUAAAAUAGUUUGAUGAAUCAGCAAACUCAAAUCAAAAAUUCGUUCAUGAAAGUGUUUCCAACUAGCUGUAGUUGGAAUCCCUCAACUUUAGCGUAGAAGAGAUGGCUGUGCGAGGUACGUGAUGUGAUUGUCCCUUAGUUACUAACUUGUGGGGCUUUCUUGGCUGUAGGAGGACGAUGCUCUUCGUUUAUUGUCCUUUGUCCUAUUUGGCAUCCUGGCCCGCGUGACCAAAAGAAAAUGGAAGGGCUAUUUCGCCGAGCAGGUUAGACAGAGCUGGGUCACACUUCUGCUGCACCUGCAAGACCCGAACCCCAGGGUUUCAGUGGAAUGCAGAGCUACGUUUCACCUCUGUGUCCCGUUUUUGGGACUGAAGAGGCUCCAAACUGCAGUGAAUGAACACCUUGAUAGCACAGCUGAGCUGAAGCCUGAGGAGCUCCAGGUGGACAUUUGCAGACACCUUGCCAAAGAGAAUGCCGAGCUGCUGGAGAACUUGUACAAAAGCACCAUCACGUACUUCUGUAGCAGCUGGGAAGAGAUGCGGGCAGUUGCAGCCAAGUUAGCUGGCAUCAUCCUGGAACACACAGACAGGCAGCGUAUGAAAUGGCUGGACCUGGAACAUCUGCUGAUGU